GGCCUGGAUUAUUAAAUAAUGAGUCGACCUGCCCAGUGACUAAAAUGUUAAACGGCCGCGGUACCCUAACCGUGCAAGGUAGCAUAAUCAUUUGCCUUUUAAUUGGAGGCUUGUAUGAAUGGUUUGACGAGAGCUAUGCUGUCUCUAUUAAAAUAAUUAGAAAUUAACUUUUAGGUGAAGAGGCCUAAAUUAAGCUGAGGGACAAGAAGACCCUGUUGAGCUUUAUUGUGGUUAAGUCCCCCCUUUUAUCAAUAUUUUAAAAUAUGAUUUUUUUUAUGGGGAUAAAGUUUAAGUGACGAGCUAAUACUAACACGUCUAUGGUCCCUAAGCUUAAUUAAGGCUCUCCCUUAAAAAUUAUUCCUGAACUUUUAAGGGAAAAAGGGUUUCGUUAACAUGGAAAACCCUCCAUUUAAAAGAGAAAAAAUUUGCACCUUUGGCCGGAGGGGAGCGGGGUUAAAAAUCAAUGUCGGGAGUUCCAAUCUAAGACAAAAAUCCGAGGAAUGUGUGGAAAAAGGGG
rnacentral:rRNA from 1 species